rnacentral:lncRNA from 1 species
GUCAACCAUCCACUCUCGAGAUUCAUAUUGAUGAUCUUCGCGUCCUACCAGUUCGCUAAGUAGACUCACUCUACCAAGGGGCAACAAAGGCUUGAACUAUUCCUGCCAAAAACAAGGGACCUCCCUCUCAUCCUAGGAGUUAGCAGGUAGAGUCCCCUCUCUGUUUGUCUCUCUGAGUUUCUACUACUAAGUAGCAUUUCUGCUAUUCAAUCAUAGAAUCGAUUCCGAUCAAGCUGAAAAAGCCCUAUAUUAUUAGUAAGCUAGUGCCCUGCAAUCUAUCGUUAGCACUAACGCCCUAUCUAUAGUGACGGGGCCUUUUCUUGCUCUU